rnacentral:lncRNA from 14 species
UGGUGAGCCAAGAUUUCAAGUGCUGUGGUGGAGGAGAAGAGGGCAUGGUAUACAGUUCCCUCCCAGGAAUGCUGUGUUGCGGGCAGGAUUAUGUGAAUAUGUCGGAU